GGCAAGGGGAAUCCGACUCUUUAAUUAAAACAAAUAUUAUAAUGGUCAUCGCGUAUUUUGACACAAUGAGAUUUCUGCUUAGUGCUUUGAAUGUCAAAGUGAAAUAGCUAUUACUCUCUUAUGGUAGACAAAUGCCUCACCAUCUAAUUAGUGGCGCGCAUGGAUCGAGAGAGCUCCU
rnacentral:rRNA from 1 species